rnacentral:rRNA from 1 species
AGUUUGACCUCAAAUCAGGUAGGAUUACCCGCUGAACUUAAGCAUAUCAAUAAGCGGAGGAAAAGAAACCAACAGGGAUUGCCUUAGUAGCGGCGAGUGAAGCGGCAAAAGCUCAAAUUUGAAAUCUGGCGUAUUCUACGUCCGAGUUGUAAUUUGAAGAA